rnacentral:rRNA from 1 species
CCAAUAGCGUAUAUUAAAGUUGUUGCAGUUAAAAAGCUCGUAGUUGAAUUUCGGGACCAAUUUGUUGGUCGUGCCUCGGUACGUACUGGUAUUAUUGGGUUCUCCCUUCUGAAGAACCUCGAUGCCAUUAAUUUGGUGUCGUGGGGAAUCAGGACUGUUACUUUGAAAAAAUUAGAGUGUUUAAAGCAAGCAUACGCUUGAAUACAUUAGCAUGGAAUAAUGAAAUAGGCCGUUUGAUUCUAUUUUGUUGGUUUCUAGGAUCGACGUAAUGAUUAAUAGGGAUAGUUGGGGGCAUUAGUAUUCAAUUGUCAGAGGUGAAAUUCUUGGAUUUAUUGAAGACUAACUACUGCGAAAGCAUUUGCCAAGGAUGUUUUCAUUAAUCAAGAACGAAAGUUAGGGGAUCGAAGACGAUCAGAUACCGUCGUAGUCUUAACCAUAAACUAUGCCGACUAGGGAUCGGAUGAUGUUAAUUUUUUAAUGACUCAUUCGGCGCCUUACG